rnacentral:lncRNA from 1 species
GGCUCUGCUCCUGUUGGUUCUCAUACUCAACGCUUUACUGGCAGCACACUGCCAUCCUGAUUUCCUGUUAUGAGAAAAAGCUCAGCAAUUGCUCCAAAACACAGGAUCCCCUUACUCCACCAAAUGCUGGUUAUGUACUAGCUCUUCCUCUAAAACACCAGGGAGAGCUUAUCCAGCCUGUACCAGAGAUUGGACAAGCAUAGACAUAGAGUUACGUAUUUCCUCUCAACAGGACCCUAAUCUGAAAGAGCUAUUUGGGUCUGCAAAUAACAUUUUUUGCAAAAGCAAAGCAGUAUUUACUUGACAUCCACAAGGCACCUCUCAUUUUUGGAUCAAUCUUUUCUAAUAUCACUUUAAUGGGAAUAACCUCUAUUUGUCUUAUGGCCAAAAGAAAAAGAUGGAUUGGAUGUAGGCUCUUUCCCAGUAUAGCUUGUAAUGUUACUCUCUCUGUAGAUUCUAACCAACAGACUGAUGGAACAUACACCGAAAACCAAUUCCACCAUCAACCAAGAUUCCCCAAACCUUCAAAUAUUAUCUUUCUUCAGGCAACUUUGCUAAUUAAGUCCAUUCAGUUUUGCCAGCAAUGCCCAAGCUCAUGCAGUACUUGAAAUUUCUAGUUCCAGCCUGAUGAUUAUAACCAAUGUCUGCAAAUUGCCAACCUCAGCUCCACAGCAGAAUGGGUUCUAAUGGAGUAAACUCAAAAUUCUCUUUUUUUGGGAAAAUGAAACCAAGGGAGCUAAUCAGAGCCAAACCCCAUGUACCCAAGUGUUAGCAGGCAUGAAUGUAGCUACCAGCUACCUGGGUGUGUUGUCAUCCUUGGUAUUUUUGGGGGCUGUCCUCAUCUCUUCUUUUGUUUUGACAUCUCUACUUGUCUUAAAACCCAAGGAGCCUUCUGUGUUUGUGGCCAAUCAGUUUACCAAUGCCUCCUCAUUAAAUGGACUGGAACUUGUACCAUAGAUUAUGUACCCCUGGACAUCUUUAUACUCCCUGGCAAUCUCUCUCUUCCAGCACCAAUCCAUGGGAAUUCUAUCUUGCCCAGGGUGAAAAGGGCUAUCCAAUUAAUUCCCCUUCUUAUGGGCCUCAGCAUUAUAGCUGGUAUGGGAACCUAAACUGCCGGAAUCUCAAAAGCCUCCUUGACCUAUAGCCAACUCUGAAAGGAAAUAGCCAGCAAGUUUAAUAUCAUGGCUAAAACCUCAACCAUGGCCAGAGCAAAUUAACACUUUAGCAGUUGUAGUCCUCCAAAACUGUCAAGGACUAGAUAUGUUAAUGGCAGCACAGGGAGGAAUUUGUUUAGCUUUAGAUGAAAAAUGUUGCUUUUGGGUAAAUCAAUCAGUAAAAGUACAAAACAACAUCAGACAACUCCUAAAUCGAGCCUCCAGCUUACAAGAACAAGCCUCUCGUGGUUAGUUAGAUUGGUAAGGAACCUGGAAAUGGGAUCUUCCCUGGGUUCUUCCCUUUUUAGGCCCACAUGUUAGCCUCUACUUUUGCUCCUUUCAGUCCAUGUCUUCAAAAAUCUAAUAACCCAAUUUGUCUCCUUUCUCUCACCUUUAGAUGAUCAAGUUCCAGAUGAUCCUCAGUGAGGGAUACCAUCCUUUCAAUAUUCAAGAGUCACCCUUC